GGACGGCUCGCCGACGGUGCCGGCGGCGGGGGCCGUCGCCGGGUCCGGGGACGGGUCCCGUCCGCCGCUCUCCAC
rnacentral:tRNA from 1 species